rnacentral:lncRNA from 1 species
UUUUGAUGCUUCAAAAUCGUAAGACCGAGCACGAGUGCGGGGAGCAAAAAGAUUGUCCUUGAUUUUCCCUAUUUAAAGGUAACCUGUCUCUAGUUCACUAAUCAUGCAGACUUAAUACAAUUCUCUGUUUGAGGUGGCAGUCUAUAUUUGGUUUUUUAAAAUACUGUAUUAUAUAAUGGCUAAACCUUUAUGUCUUUUCUACAAGAUGCAGUCUAAUCUUUCAAAGAAAAUAAUCAUGUAAUUUAUGUCAUAGAAGUAAAUAUUAAAAUAAAUUCAGACUACAUUUCUUGUUUAUGCUCCACAGAGUUUUGUUUUGUUUUCUCUUCAGAAAUUUAUGAAAAUCUUUGCUGUUUUAAUGUGUUUGCCUGAAACUAUUUUACUCAGAUUGAAGUAUUGACGCCAUGGAAUAAAGGUUCAGCGUCCUAGAUGUUUUUUUGACAUCGCCAUUAAUAAUCAACCUGCUACCUUCUUUUUCAGCUGGAAGAGUUGUCUUUGAAUUAUUUUCUGAUGUGUGCCCCCAAAACAUGCGAGAACUUUCGGUGUGUCUUGUACAGGUUUUGUUGACAUUUUCACUCACCCUAAUAGUUUCAAUUUAACACAUUUUAGGUUUUUUCAU